CUUUUCUUCUUCUUCUGAGUAAUGAUUGCAUAGGUGCGUCAUGAUGGUACAACUCCUUUUAUUCCACUAAAUUAACCUCCUCACUCAUUGGUUCCACACAGAUGAAUUCAGCUUUUGGCAACACAAAAACAGCACCUGAGUACUGCCUUUGUAUCGUCAGGUAGCAAAAUACAUGUAGCCAGUUUGGGAGACCUCGACGGCAUCUGGGAAAGCAGGCAAAGGCUGCGGCCAGCUCAGACACGCGAAACCGAGGCGGAAACGCUGGCCGACGGCUUGGUGGUGGAGGCGAAGCCGACUUGGGGCGAGACCGAGGUGACACCAGAAGGGGACGGCGACUCGGAGUCGAGGUCGAAUCCGAGUCGACUCAGAGAGGCGCCGCUGACAGCAGGGCAAGGCCGACUUGGAAGCGUCCGGCGUGAAGCAGCCACUUGCGAUGCGCAAGGCGUGCAGAGGCGACUUGUGGCGGCGAAGGCCGGUGGCCACGGUGCGGCGGGAACCGCUUCUGUGGCCAAGGCGGGAUGGAGGAGCGCGAGCGCACAAAGAUAGUUGUGCCCGUGCGGC
rnacentral:lncRNA from 1 species